rnacentral:tRNA from 1 species
UCCAGGGUAGCUAGUGGACAUGGCAUCUGCCCGGUUGCGGAACACUGUGGGUUCGAUUCCCAUCCCUGGAC